rnacentral:rRNA from 1 species
UGGGGAAUCUUGGACAAUGGGCGCAAGCCUGAUCCAGCCAUGCCGCGUGGAUGAUGAAGGCCUUAGGGUUGUAAAAUCCUUUCGCCGAGGACGAUAAUGACGGUACCUGGAGAAUAAGCUCCGGCUAACUCCGUGCCAGCAGCCGCGGUAAUACGGAGGGAGCUAGCGUUGUUCGGAAUUACUGGGCGUAAAGCGUACGUAGGCGGUGACUCAAGUCAGAGGUGAAAGCCUGGAGCUCAACUCCAGAACUGCCUUUGAAACUAGGUCGCUAGAAUCACGGAGAGGUGAGUGGAAUUCCGAGUGUAGAGGUGAAAUUCGUAGAUAUUCGGAAGAACACCAGUGGCGAAGGCGGCUCACUGGACGUGUAUUGACGCUGAGGUACGAAAGCGUGGGGAGCAAACAGGAUUAGAUACCCAAGUAGUCCCUGAGCGGGCUGGCAAGGCGCAU